UGCAUGGAGUUAGGACCAUCGGAGUCCUUGCAGAUGGAGCCCUCUGGGCAAUACUGAAGAUACCGAGGGACAAGCAAUGGUGAGAAUAUUUGCCAUCAGUCUGGGCUUUUUGUCCAGGAUGGGGGGACAACAAGAAUGACAUUGGUACUGGGUGACAUAUGCCAGAUUGAAUGUUCAAGUCUGCCUGUUCAAGUCUAUGUUCUGCAAGAGCUCCUGUGAUGGCCCAUAUCCCAGGGAAGUCAUACCUGCUCUCUGCUCUGCUCUCUGCUUUCUGCUCUCUGCUUUCUGCUCUCUGCUUUCUGCUCUCUGCUCUGCUCUCUGUUCUCUGCUCUCUGCUCUGCUUUCUGCUCUCUGCUCUGCUUUCUGCUCUGCUCUCUGCUUUCUGCUUUCUGCUCUCUGCUCUACUCUGCUCUCUGCUCUACUCUGCUCUCUGCUCUGCUCUGCUCUCUGCUCUGCUCUGCUUUCUGCUCUCUGCUCUCUGCUCUGCUCUCUGCUCUCUGCUCUGCGUUCUGCUCUCUGCUCUACUCUGCUCUCUGCUCUGCUCUGCUUUCUGCUCUGCUCUGCUCUCUGCUCUGCUCUGCUCUCUGCUCUCUGCUCUGCUUUGCUCUGAGGAAACUCUCAGAAAGUACUGGGACUGGAAUACCUUCCAGGUGGGGCAACAUGUCUGAGGCUACUGUGUUUGUCUGGUCCCCUCUUCUGUCUCCUGCCUUCCUAUGCCUUGCCUGGUAUCAGCCACCCAUGGGCACAGGCAGUUACCCCUAGUUACUGGAAACAUGGCUCUGCUGUUUUCUAUCUCUUCCAGUGUCACUCUGAAGCCACAUAGUAGACUUCCUGGUUAGCUGUCAGGGGCUUAAAAAGUAGAAGGUGUUUUGAUGGGGAAGGAAUGAACAAAGUUGGGACAAUAGCAAAAGCCUCAAACUACCAGCCAAGGCCUGAGCAGAGCUGCCUGGAACAGUACUUGGGCUACUGUUCAAGAUCCCUGAUACCCCAGGGCUUUGUGGUUUAGUAUCACCCACAUUCUCUAGGCUGAUAACAACCACAGUGUGGGCCUGUCCGGUCCUAUGCCUGUGGUGGCAAUAGGGGUCUGGAGUCACCAUCACCGAUAUCAGAAAGGAAGAGACAUCAGACUGCUGAGCUGCUGCUGCUCUGAACACCAGUGGGAACUGUUCCUUUCCGAGUUUCGGGAUCUUUGGUUCCUAAACCUUCAGGGUAGUGAAUGGGAACCUUGGGCCAUACAGCUCCAUCAGGUGAUGGGAAUGAAGGAUUCUGACAAUCCCAGUGGCUCAAGGCCAAAGCUAGCUGGGACAUGUGACUCUCAUUGGCUGAAACACAACUCCUGGAAGGUGACUGCCAAGACGACUGUGAACCUAGUUCCGUAAUUCCUCACCAAGGCUCUCAGGUCUGAAUGUCAAUUCAAAACCAUCCCUGUGUAAAAGGACCAUGGGACUGUAUAUGCCAACUCAAUGCAUAAUCAAUCCGACACGCUCAUGUUUCUGCUGUCAGUGUAAGUUGGAUGACAUAGGAAACAAGUCUUUGCUUCACAAUGGUUUGGGUGAGGAGACCACGAUUCUGUUCUGUAUGUUUGCUUAGUUUCAGAGUCACAGAUAAAGAAUGGGAGCCUGCUCUCCAGGUUUCAGCUCUUCUGUUGGAAGAAGUGGGUAGCACACAGCAGAAGAGAGUUUUCCAGCAUGGAGAAGGGACAGCCUGAAUGUGGUGUGUGCCAUAGCACCCUCUUCCUGACCAUCAGUAGCUUGCCCUAAUAUUUUAAUUAUCAAUGUCAAUAGUACAUAUCACUUUUAUUUUCUAAAUGUUAAGAAGAAAGGUACCUAUGCCUCCUGCCCUCCCCUCCCCCAUCAUUUUUUUGGGGGGAUGUCUGUGCAUGCAGACACAUAUACAUACCUAUAAACAUACAUACCUAUAAACAGGUACUUUUGUGGGUUUAAAAAAACAAAAAUGGCAUUGGAAAUGUAAAUGAGCUAAAUACCU
rnacentral:lncRNA from 1 species